UGGGGAAUAUUGGACAAUGGGCGCAAGCCUGAUCCAGCCAUACCGCGUGGGUGAAGAAGGCCUUCGGGUUGUAAAGCCCUUUUGUUGGGAAAGAAAUCCAGCUGGUUAAUACCCGGUUGGGAUGACGGUACCCAAAGAAUAAGCACCGGCUAACUUCGUGCCAGCAGCCGCGGUAAUACGAAGGGUGCAAGCGUUACUCGGAAUUACUGGGCGUAAAGCGUGCGUAGGUGGUCGUUUAAGUCCGUUGUGAAAGCCCUGGGCUCAACCUGGGAACUGCAGUGGAUACUGGACGACUAGAGUGUGGUAGAGGGUAGCGGAAUUCCUGGUGUAGCAGUGAAAUGCGUAGAGAUCAGGAGGAACAUCCAUGGCGAAGGCAGCUACCUGGACCAACACUGACACUGAGGCACGAAAGCGUAGGGAGCAAACAGGAUUAGAUACCCUGGUAGUCCACGCCCUAAACGAUGCGAACUGGAUGUUGGGUGCAAUUUGGCACGCAGUAUCGAAGCUAACGCGUUAAGUUCGCCGCCUGGGGAGUACGGUCGCAAGACUG
rnacentral:rRNA from 1 species